rnacentral:rRNA from 1 species
UACGUAGGGGGCAAGCGUUGUCCGGAAUCAUUGGGCGUAAAGAGCGUGUAGGCGGUUCGGUAAGUCGGCUGUGAAAGUCCAGGGCUCAACCCUGGGAUGCCGGUCGAUACUGCCGGACUAGAGUUCGGAAGAGGCGAGUGGAAUUCCCGGUGUAGCGGUGAAAUGCGCAGAUAUCGGGAGGAACACCUAGGGCGAAGGCAGCUCGCUGGGACGUUACUGACGCUGAGGCACGAAGGCCAGGGGAGCAAACGGG